rnacentral:rRNA from 1 species
GACGAACGCUGGCGGCGUGCUUAACACAUGCAAGUCGAACGGUGAAGCGCCUUCCUUUUUGGUGGGUGUGGAUGAGUGGCGAACGGGUGAGUAACACGUGAGUAACCUGCCCCCUUCUUCUGGAUAACCGCAUGAAAGUGUGGCUAAUACGGGAUAUUCUGGGUCUGUCGCAUGAUGGGUCUGGGAAAGAUAUUGUUUCGGUGGGGGAUGGGCUCGCGGCCUAUCAGCUUGUUGGUGGGGUGAUGGCCUACCAAGGCGGGGACGGGUAGCCGGCUUGAGAGGGUGGACGGUCACACUGGGACUGAGACACGGCCGGGACUCCUACGGGAGGCAGCAGUGGAGAAUAUUGCACAGUGGGCGCAAGCCUGAUGCGGCGACGCCGCGUGAGGGAUGGAGGCCUUCGGGUUGUGAACCUCUUUCGCCAGUGAAGCAGGCCUGCCUCGUUUGUGGGUGGGUUGACGGUAGCUGGAUAAGAAGCACCGGCUAACUACGUG